rnacentral:rRNA from 1 species
AUUGAACGCUGGCGGCAGGCUUAACACAUGCAAGUCGAGCGGAGCGAGGGUGCUUGCACCUUAGCUUAGCGGCGGACGGGUGAGUAAUGCUUAGGGAUCUGCCUAUUAGUGGGGGACAACAUUCCGAAAGGAAUGCUAAUACCGCAUACGCCCUACGGGGGAAAGCAGGGGAUCUUCGGACCUUGCGCUAAUAGAUGAGCCUAAGUCGGAUUAGCUAGUUGGUGGGGUAAAGGCCUACCAAGGCGACGAUCUGUAGCGGGUCUGAGAGGAUGAGCCGCCACACUGGGCCGGAGACACGGCCCCGACUCCUACGGGAGGCAGCGGUGGGGAAUAUUGGACAAUGGGGGGAACCCUGAUCCAGCCAUGCCGCGUGUGUGAAGAAGGCCUUAUGGUUGUAAAGCACUUGAAGCGAGGAGGAGGCUACUGAUACUAAUACUCUUGGAUAGUGGACGUUACUCGCAGAAUAAGCACCGGCUAACUCUGUGCCAGCCGCCGCCCGUAA